UCCUAUCCGUCCGUCAUUGCUUCCUUUUUCCUCUCCUUUGCUCAUCGAAAGCCCUCCCCUCGCGGCUGUGUUUUCUCUUGCCUUUUAUAUGGAACACUUCAACCCUAAAAAACCCAGCAACCUCUGUCCAAAUUUGCAGCCAAGGGCCUGCACCCGAAUCUUCACUUUGCAAGUCGCGGCAACUUGCAUGCCGCGAAUCAAUUUCUUUUUUUUUUUUUUUUUUUUUUUUUUUUUUUUUUUUUUAAAAACUUAAUAAAUACAGAAAUGAUAAAAUAUAAAUAAUAAUAACAAAUUGACAAAAAACCAGGUAAUAAUAAUAGUAAUAAUAAUGAAAAUA
rnacentral:lncRNA from 1 species